rnacentral:rRNA from 1 species
AUGAACGCUAGCUACAGGCUUAACACAUGCAAGUCGAGGGGCAGCAUGGUCUUAGCUUGCUAAGGCCGAUGGCGACCGGCGCACGGGUGAGUAACACGUAUCCAACCUGCCGUCUACUCUUGGACAGCCUUCUGAAAGGAAGAUUAAUACAAGAUGGCAUCAUGAGUCCGCAUGUUCACAUGAUUAAAGGUAUUCCGGUAGACGAUGGGGAUGCGUUCCAUUAGGUAGUAGGCGGGGUAACGGCCCACCUAGUCUUCGAUGGAUAGGGGUUCUGAGAGGAAGGUCCCCCACAUUGGAACUGAGACACGGUCCAAACUCCUACGGGAGGCAGCAGUGAGGAAUAUUGGUCAAUGGGCGAGAGCCUGAACCAGCCAAGUAGCGUGAAGGAUGACUGCCCUAUGGGUUGUAAACUUCUUUUAUAAAGGAAUAAAGUCGGGUAUGGAUACCCGUUUGCAUGUACUUUAUGAAUAAGGAUCGGCUAACUCCGUGCCAGCAGCCGCGGUAAUACGGAGGAUCCGAGCGUUAUCCGGAUUUAUUGGGUUUAAAGGGAGCGUAGAUGGAUGUUUAAGUCAGUUGUGAAAGUUUGCGGCUCAACCGUAAAAUUGCAGUUGAUACUGGAUAUCUUGAGUGCAGUUGAGGCAGGCGGAAUUCGUGGUGUAGCGGUGAAAUGCUUAGAUAUCACGAAGAACUCCGAUUGCGAAGGCAGCCUGCUAAGCUGCAACUGACAUUGAGGCUCGAAAGUGUGGGUAUCAAACAGGAUUAGAUACCCUGGUAGUCCACACGGUAAACGAUGAAUACUCGCUGUUUGCGAUAUACUGCAAGCGGCCAAGCGAAAGCGUUAAGUAUUCCACCUGGGGAGUACGCCGGCAACGGUGAAACUCAAAGGAAUUGACGGGGGCCCGCACAAGCGGAGGAACAUGUGGUUUAAUUCGAUGAUACGCGAGGAACCUUACCCGGGCUUAAAUUGCAGAUGAAUUACGGUGAAAGCCGUAAGCCGCAAGGCAUCUGUGAAGGUGCUGCAUGGUUGUCGUCAGCUCGUGCCGUGAGGUGUCGGCUUAAGUGCCAUAACGAGCGCAACCCUUGUUGUCAGUUACUAACAGGUUCCGCUGAGGACUCUGACAAGACUGCCAUCGUAAGAUGUGAGGAAGGUGGGGAUGACGUCAAAUCAGCACGGCCCUUACGUCCGGGGCUACACACGUGUUACAAUGGGGGGUACAGAGGGCCGCUACCACGCGAGUGGAUGCCAAUCCCCAAAACCUCUCUCAGUUCGGACUGGAGUCUGCAACCCGACUCCACGAAGCUGGAUUCGCUAGUAAUCGCGCAUCAGCCACGGCGCGGUGAAUACGUUCCCGGGCCUUGUACACACCGCCCGUCAAGCCAUGGGAGCCGGGGGUACCUGAAGUGCGUAACCGCGAGGAGCGCCCUAGGGUAAAACUGGUGACUGGGGCU